GCCUGUUCGAGCGUCAUUUAACCACUCACGCCUAGCGUGGUAUUGGGGCACGCGGUCUCCGCGGCCUCAAAUUAGUGGCGGCGCCGGUGGGCUCUAAGCGUAGUACAUACUCCCGCUAUAGAGUUCCCCCGGUGGCUCGCCAGAACCCCCAAUUUUUACAGGUUGACCUCGGAUCAGGUAGGGAUACCCGCUGAACUUAA
rnacentral:misc_RNA from 1 species